UGAUUUAAUAGCUUCAUUCACACUAUUUUUACAUUGACACAUUCGCUUUACUUAUUACAUUGUUAUUUCGUUUAAUUGUUUACAAAACACUCUCAGUGACUAUAUCGACAGUAAUGCGCAAAUAAAGACCCGCGGUCUAUAAUAAUGCAUGACGCGUAGGACGUAAUCAUCUUCUUUUUUGAAGUAACGUCUGUAUUAUGAUAAGAUUAUGAUAAGAUGAUAAGAUACACAUACACUAAUACAGUACUACUCUACUAGAUCUACUUCUAGUAUUAGUAGAUCUACUACUCAUCAUCUAGAGAGUAGAGUACUCUAGCUAGGCCUAGGACUAGUCACUAGGUAGUACUAGACUGACUAGAGUAGUAGGUAGGCUAGUUGGUAUUAUAAUUGUGUAAAGCCUAGUUAGGCUAGAUCUAGAUCUAGUACUAGACUAGAAUCUAGAUAAAUUAUCUUCUCUGUUGAAGAUUGAACUUGAAGUAAUGUCUGUAGUUUAUAAGAUUUGGAUAAGAUUUAAAUGGGCCUCAUUCACCGAAACGUACGGUCACGUGACAACCAUCAACGAUUCACUUGUGUGUAUAGAAUAGUAUAGAUUAGUACUGGAAAGAUGGGGAAGCAAUGCGUUGCAUUUGACUAAUAAUUAUGAACAUAAAAAAGAAUGGAAAAAAAAAAAAAGGUUUUCAUCGUUUUCCUGUGAACAAUCCAAAGCUAUGUAAAGAAUGGGUUGUCAAACUGAAACGAAAAAACUUCACUGCAAGUGUACACUCUGUAAUAUGUUCAGUCUUCAGAGCAUUUUGAGGAGGACUGUUUUAUUUACCAGCCUUUUACAAAUCGCAGACUUCUAAAGCCUGGUGCUGUGCCGACCAAGUUUUCUUUUUCCAAAAGUACACCAAGCCGAAAAAAGACCAAAUAUGAAUUUAGAGAGACAAUUAGGACUGGAAGAUGCAAGAUGGAAAUUUCUUUUGGUUACAUCCCUUUGACCAAAUAAAUAAAUUUUCAAGACAACCCAAACUGGACAUGAAUUCAUGAUAAUGGACCAAAUGGACUACUAAAUUGUUUAAAAAAACAAAACAAAAAACACUAUUUCAUUAUGGACAAGAUUGACUUAUAACAUAUUUUUCAACUAAUAAAUUUAAUCUUAAAAUGAAUUAUAUUCAAAAAUGAAAUAAUUUUUAAGCUCAUCAUACACAUACUUACUUUGAGCUCUGUACAUUUAUAGAAACCAAAUCUUAUCUUUUAUAAUACAGACGUUACUUCAAAAGAGAAGAUGAUUACGUCCUACGCGUCAUGUAUGGUUUUAUUAUAUGUACAUUUUUGUAACUCUAGCAGACCCCAGAGAAUCCCUAAUGAUAUAGGAUGGAGGUCCUUUGUCCUAGGUACUUAAGGGAAAAAUUGUUGCAAAAAAAAUAAAUAAUAAUAAGAAGAAUUAAUUUUUAUAACUCAUAAGUCUUUAAAAAAAAAAUUAAAAAAAUUUGGGAAUAUUUAUUAUGAGGAAAAUUUUCAAUAAUUUUGUGAAUAGAUUUUGCCAUUAUUUUCUGGACCUUUGCUGUCAUCACUUUCUGGACCUUUGCUGUCAUCAUUUUAUGGACCUUUGCUGCAGCCUACUCCACGAUGAUGCUGGAAAUCCUGGAAUGUGUUUUUGAAACUAUUUCCUUCAUAAAAAUGUUGUUUUUAUGAAAUAUUCUUUGUAUUAUUAAUAAUAUAAAAUAAUAUGUUAUGUGUUUUCUUUAAAAAAAAAGUUUUGCCUUCCCUA